AGAGUUUGAUCCUGGCUCAGGAUGAACGCCAGCGGCAGGCUUAAUACAUGCAAGUCGUGGGGCAGCGCAGUGUAGCAAUACAUGGGCGGCGACCGGCAAACGGGUGCGCAAUACGUACGCAACCUUCCUUCGAGCGGGGAAUAGCCCAGGGAAACUUGGAUUAAUACCCCAUAAUAUAACGAAAAGGCAUCUUUUUGUUAUUAAAGCUCCGGCACUUGAAGAUGGGCGUACGGCUGAUUAGGUAGUUGGCGGGGUAAAGGCCCACCAAGCCUGCGAUCAGUAGCUGAUGUGAGAGCAUGAUCAGCCACACGGGCACUGAGACACGGGCCCGACUCCUACGGGAGGCAGCAGUAAGGAAUAUUGGUCAAUGGACGCAAGUCUGAACCAGCCAUGCCGCGUGGAGGAUGACGGUCCUCUGGAUUGUAAACUUCUUUUAUCUGGGACGAAACACUCCUAUUCUUAGGGGCCUGACGGUACCAGAG
rnacentral:rRNA from 1 species